ACUGUGCACCGUUUAUCGAUUUCGGUAAUUACGAUUAUUAUCGAUAUAAUUGAGGUACUGUUCAUUCCCUUCAAUGUCUGGAAUAUUUGUUGAUGAGUUAAAGUGGAAAUUUGAGAUAAAAAAGUACAGAAGGGUAGGCCUCGUUAUGCAACUUUUAAUUACAAUCGAAUUGAUUUCUUGUUUCCAAAAGUUUCUGUCACAACUUCAUUAGCUAAUCAACUUUUUCUCCAGAUCAUUUGAUACACAAGUUGCAGCCCUCGGAGCAGUGAUUUUUCAAGUAGUUGAAGGAAAUGCAAAUGAAUCAGCUGUAUGCUAAUGAGCUCCUAACCUCAUUUCUAGCUCUUUAUAAGACACUGGAAACUGAAUUUCAGGGAGCACUUAUGUUGUGCUACUUUUUAUGGGAACAGUGUGAAGCGCGCCAAAUCUUACUGCGUGACAGCAAAUUGACGAGCAGACGAUAUGGGAUAAGUGUUUAAUAAACAUUUAAUGAAACAUUAUAAAUUAAAAGAGGAAAGAAGGAAGAAGCCAUGGCGUACGAGCACAAGGCACAACGAUGCUCUUAAUUAAAAUACGAGUCUGUCUUACAGCAAACGCCUUUACGCAUUGUUCAGCCGGAUACGCUUAGCAAAAGUAAAAAAUAGGUACUUUCCAGCCGGUC